rnacentral:rRNA from 1 species
AGAGUUUGAUCCUGGCUCAGGACGAACGCUGGCGGCGUGCCUAAUACAUGCAAGUAGAACGCUGAAGAGAGGAGCUUGCUCUUCUUGGAUGAGUUGCGAACGGGUGAGUAACGCGUAGGUAACCUGCCUUGUAGCGGGGGAUAACUAUUGGAAACGAUAGCUAAUACCGCAUAACAAUGGGUGACUCAUGUCAUUUAUUUGAAAGGGGCAAAUGCUCCACUACAAGAUGGACCUGCGUUGUAUUAGCUAGUAGGUGAGGUAACGGCUCACCUAGGCGACGAUACAUAGCCGACCUGAGAGGGUGAUCGGCCACACUGGGACUGAGACACGGCCCAGACUCCUACGGGAGGCAGCAGUAGGGAAUCUUCGGCAAUGGGGGCAACCCUGACCGAGCAACGCCGCGUGAGUGAAGAAGGUUUUCGGAUCGUAAAGCUCUGUUGUAAGUCAAGAACGAGUGUGAGAGUGGAAAGUUCACACUGUGACGGUAGCUUACCAGAAAGGGACGGCUAACUACGUGCCAGCAGCCGCGGUAAUACGUAGGUCCCGAGCGUUGUCCGGAUUUAUUGGGCGUAAAGCGAGCGCAGGCGGUUUGAUAAGUCUGAAGUUAAAGGCUGUGGCUCAACCAUAGUUCGCUUUGGAAACUGUCAAACUUGAGUGCAGAAGGGGAGAGUGGAAUUCCAUGUGUAGCGGUGAAAUGCGUAGAUAUAUGGAGGAACACCGGUGGCGAAAGCGGCUCUCUGGUCUGUAACUGACGCUGAGGCUCGAAAGCGUGGGGAGCGAACAGGAUUAGAUACCCUGGUAGUCCACGCCGUAAACGAUGAGUGCUAGGUGUUGGAUCCUUUCCGGGAUUCAGUGCCGCAGCUAACGCAUUAAGCACUCCGCCUGGGGAGUACGACCGCAAGGUUGAAACUCAAAGGAAUUGACGGGGGCCCGCACAAGCGGUGGAGCAUGUGGUUUAAUUCGAAGCAACGCGAAGAACCUUACCAGGUCUUGACAUCCCGAUGCUAUUUCUAGAGAUAGAAAGUUACUUCGGUACAUCGGUGACAGGUGGUGCAUGGUUGUCGUCAGCUCGUGUCGUGAGAUGUUGGGUUAAGUCCCGCAACGAGCGCAACCCCUAUUGUUAGUUGCCAUCAUUCAGUUGGGCACUCUAGCGAGACUGCCGGUAAUAAACCGGAGGAAGGUGGGGAUGACGUCAAAUCAUCAUGCCCCUUAUGACCUGGG